GACGAACGCUGGCGGCGUGCUUAACACAUGCAAGUCGAACGGAAAGGCCCUGCUUUUGUGGGGUGCUCGAGUGGCGAACGGGUGAGUAACACGUGAGUAACCUGCCCUUGACUUUGGGAUAACUUCAGGAAACUGGGGCUAAUACCGGAUAGGAGCUCCUGCUGCAUGGUGGGGGUUGGAAAGUUUCGGCGGUUGGGGAUGGACUCGCGGCUUAUCAGCUUGUUGGUGGGGUAGUGGCUUACCAAGGCUUUGACGGGUAGCCGGCCUGAGAGGGUGACCGGCCACAUUGGGACUGAGAUACGGCCCAGACUCCUACGGUAGGCAGCAGUGGGGAAUAUUGCACAAUGGGCGGAAGCAUGAUGCAGCAACGCAGCGUGCGGGAUGACGGCCUUCGGGUUGUAAACCGCUUUCGCCUGUGACGAAGCGUGAGUGACGGUAAUGGGUAAAGAAGCACCGGCUAACUACGUG
rnacentral:rRNA from 1 species